rnacentral:rRNA from 1 species
GAGCGGCGGACGGGUGAGGAAUACAUCGGAAUCUGCCUUGUUGUGGGGGAUAACGUAGGGAAACUUACGCUAAUACCGCAUAAGACGUAAGGUGAAAGCGGGGGAUCGAAAGACCUCGCGCGACAAGAUGAGCCGAUGUCGGAUUAGCUAGUUGGCGGGGUAAUGGCCCACCAAGGCGACGAUCCGUAGCUGGUCUGAGAGGAUGAUCAGCCACACUGGAACUGAGACACGGUCCAGACUCCUACGGGAGGCAGCAGUGGGGAAUAUUGGACAAUGGGCGCAAGCCUGAUCCAGCCAUGCCGCGUGGGUGAAGAAGGCCUUCGGGUUGUAAAGCCCUUUUGUUCGGGACGAGAUCGUACGGGUGAAUAUCCCGUGCGGAUGACGGUACCGGAAGAAUAAGCACCGGCUAACUUCGUGCCAGCAGCCGCGGUAAUACGAAGGGUGCAAGCGUUACUCGGAAUUACUGGGCGUAAAGCGUGCGUAGGCGGUUUGUUAAGUCCGCUGUGAAAGCCCUGGGCUCAACCUGGGAAUUGCAGUGGAUACUGGCAAGCUAGAGUGCGGUAGAGGAUGGUGGAAUUCCCGGUGUAGCGGUGAAAUGCGUAGAGAUCGGGAGGAACACCCGUGGCGAAGGCGGCCAUCUGGACCAGCAC